AUGGCUUCAACAGGUGCAUCCGCUCUCACUUUGAAGCUGGCCGUCGUUGCUGCCGUUCUCGCCCUGCUGGUCAUACCUUCCUUGGGACGCUGUCCGUCCCUUGGUCCGGCACCACCACCACCAGCGCAGGCACCACCGCCACCACUGGAGGCCAUACCACCACCACCACCGGCGCAGGCACCACCCCCACCACUGGAGGCGAUACCACCGACGCAGGCGCCACCACCACCAUUGAUGGCGAUACCACCAGCGCCUGCGCUGGGUCCGGGGCUAGGACCGCGGCUCGGAUGCGGUGAGUGCCGCGUACAGUGCUUCCCGGCGUGCCAAGCCUCCCAUUCCAUGGACUGCAAAGAGGAAUGCGACAACGAUGAGAGCCGCUGCAAGGAGUGCAGGACCCCAGUGAUCAAGAAGUGCACGUCCGUCUGCACGGGCAGCUGUGACUGCAAUGCUGAAGCCGACAAGUCAUGCACCUCCGAGUGCUCCUACAAUACAUGCAGCUGUUGCGCGUACAGCCGUGACAAGAGUUGCAAGAACGACUGUGACAACUACUGCAACAGCAACUGCUGGGGACCAUAG
rnacentral:rRNA from 1 species